GGGUUGUGAGGUUAAGCGACUAAGCGUACACGGUGGAUGCCCUGGCAGUCAGAGGCGAUGAAGGACGUGCUAAUCUGCGAUAAGCGUCGGUAAGGUGAUAUGAACCGUUAUAACCGGCGAUUUCCGAAUGGGGAAACCCAGUGUGAUUCGUCACACUAUCAUUAACUGAAUCCAUAGGUUAAUGAGGCGAACCGGGGGAACUGAAACAUCUAAGUACCCCGAGGAAAAGAAAUCAACCGAGAUUCCCCCAGUAGCGGCGAGCGAACGGGGAGCAGCCCAGAGCCUGAAUCAGUGUGUGUGUUAGUGGAAGCGUCUGGAAAGGCGCGCGAUACAGGGUGACAGCCCCGUACACAAAAAAAAACACAUGCUGUGAGCUCGAUGAGUAGGGCGGGACACGUGGUAUCCUGUCUGAAUAUGGGGGGACCAUCCUCCAAGGCUAAAUACUCCUGACUGACCGAUAGUGAACCAGUACCGUGAGGGAAAGGCGAAAAGAACCCCGGCGAGGGGAGUGAAAAGAACCUGAAACCGUGUACGUACAAGCGGUGGGAGCACGCUUAGGCGUGUGACUGCGUACCUUUUGUAUAAUGGGUCAGCGACUUAUAUUCUGUAGCAAGGUUAACCGAAUAGGGGAGCCGAAGGGAAACCGAGUCUUAACUGGGCGUUAAGUUGCAGGGUAUAGACCCGAAACCCGGUGAUCUAGCCAUGGGCAGGUUGAAGGUUGGGUAACACUAACUGGAGGACCGAACCGACUAAUGUUGAAAAAUUAGCGGAUGACUUGUGGCUGGGGGUGAAAGGCCAAUCAAACCGGGAGAUAGCUGGUUCUCCCCGAAAGCUAUUUAGGUAGCGCCUCGUGAAUUCAUCUCCGGGGGUAGAGCACUGUUUCGGCAAGGGGGUCAUCCCGACUUACCAACCCGAUGCAAACUGCGAAUACCGGAGAAUGUUAUCACGGGAGACACACGGCGGGUGCUAACGUCCGUCGUGAAGAGGGAAACAACCCAGACCGCCAGCUAAGGUCCCAAAGUCAUGGUUAAGUGGGAAACGAUGUGGGAAGGCCCAGACAGCCAGGAUGUUGGCUUAGAAGCAGCCAUCAUUUAAAGAAAGCGUAAUAGCUCACUGGUCGAGUCGGCCUGCGCGGAAGAUGUAACGGGGCUAAACCAUGCACCGAAGCUGCGGCAGCGACGCUUAUGCGUUGUUGGGUAGGGGAGCGUUCUGUAAGCCUGCGAAGGUGUGCUGUGAGGCAUGCUGGAGGUAUCAGAAGUGCGAAUGCUGACAUAAGUAACGAUAAAGCGGGUGAAAAGCCCGCUCGCCGGAAGACCAAGGGUUCCUGUCCAACGUUAAUCGGGGCAGGGUGAGUCGACCCUAAGGCGAGGCCGAAAGGCGUAGUCGAUGGGAAACAGGUUAAUAUUCCUGUACUUGGUGUUACUGCGAAGGGGACGGAGAAGGCUAUGUUGGCCGGGCGACGGUUGUCCCGGUUUAAGCGUGUAGGCUGGUUUUCCAGGCAAAUCCGGAAAAUCAAGGCUGAGGCGUGAUGACGAGGCACUACGGUGCUGAAGCAACAAAUGCCCUGCUUCCGGGAAAAAAGCCUCUAAGCAUCAGGUAACAUCAAAUCGUACCCCAAACCGACACAGGUGGUCAGGUAGAGAAUACCAAGGCGCUUGAGAGAACUCGGGUGAAGGAACUAGGCAAAAUGGUGCCGUAACUUCGGGAGAAGGCACGCUGAUAUGUAGGUGAAGUCCCUCGCGGAUGGAGCUGAAAUCAGUCGAAGAUACCAGCUGGCUGCAACUGUUUAUUAAAAAACACAGCACUGUGCAAACACGAAAGUGGACGUAUACGGUGUGACGCCUGCCCGGUGCCGGAAGGUUAAUUGAUGGGGUUAGCGGUAACGCGAAGCUCUUGAUCGAAGCCCCGGUAAACGGCGGCCGUAACUAUAACGGUCCUAAGGUAGCGAAAUUCCUUGUCGGGUAAGUUCCGACCUGCACGAAUGGCGUAAUGAUGGCGAGGCUGUCUCCACCCGAGACUCAGUGAAAUUGAACUCGCUGUGAAGAUGCAGUGUACCCGCGGCAAGACGGAAAGACCCCGUGAACCUUUACUAUAGCUUGACACUGAACAUUGAGCCUUGAUGUGUAGGAUAGGUGGGAGGCUUUGAAGUGUGGACGCCAGUCUGCAUGGAGCCGACCUUGAAAUACCACCCUUUAAUGUUUGAUGUUCUAACGUUGGCCCCUAAUCGGGGUUGCGGACAGUGUCUGGUGGGUAGUUUGACUGGGGCGGUCUCCUCCUAAAGAGUAACGGAGGAGCACGAAGGUUGGCUAAUCCUGGUCGGACAUCAGGAGGUUAGUGCAAUGGCAUAAGCCAGCUUGACUGCGAGCGUGACGGCGCGAGCAGGUGCGAAAGCAGGUCAUAGUGAUCCGGUGGUUCUGAAUGGAAGGGCCAUCGCUCAACGGAUAAAAGGUACUCCGGGGAUAACAGGCUGAUACCGCCCAAGAGUUCAUAUCGACGGCGGUGUUUGGCACCUCGAUGUCGGCUCAUCACAUCCUGGGGCUGAAGUAGGUCCCAAGGGUAUGGCUGUUCGCCAUUUAAAGUGGUACGCGAGCUGGGUUUAGAACGUCGUGAGACAGUUCGGUCCCUAUCUGCCGUGGGCGCUGGAGAACUGAGGGGGGCUGCUCCUAGUACGAGAGGACCGGAGUGGACGCAUCACUGGUGUUCGGGUUGUCAUGCCAAUGGCACUGCCCGGUAGCUAAAUGCGGAAGAGAUAAGUGCUGAAAGCAUCUAAGCACGAAACUUGCCCCGAGAUGAGUUCUCCCUGACUCCCUGAGAGUCCUGAAGGAACGUUGAAGACGACGACGUUGAUAGGCCGGGUGUGUAAGCGCAGCGAUGCGUUGAGCUAACCGGUACUAAUGAACCGUGAGGCUUAACCUUACAACGCCGAAG
rnacentral:rRNA from 1 species